rnacentral:lncRNA from 1 species
UGCAUAUAUUAGGUGCGUGCGCCUCUAUUCUCUGAAAUUUUAGUAGUAUUCAUUUAACUAUUUGAAAUUAGGAUCUACAGAAUAUUCACAAGUUACCAACUCUAGUUCAUUUUAUUUUAUUUCUAAAUGUUAUUCAUAUGGUAUGACUUGGUUAAACUGAUCCAAUUAACCCAGUCCAACCUGACCUAACCUAACCUAACUUGAACCAACUCGAUUUUGAACCCGAGCUCAAAAAUUAAGGGUGAUUGGAUUUGGAUCGAAGAGAUUGGGUUAAAGAUCGAAUCUCUAGUUCGAAGAGCUUGGGUUGCUACCACAAAAAGAUCGGAUCUGGUUCGGUGCUGGGCAGGGUCUCAGGAUCUCUAGUUGGGCUUGGUUUGACCUCUAACUUGAUCUGACCUAUCCGAAUUUCUACCUAAUUAGUCAGACUCGAUCAUGCUUCCAAAGAAUAGAAAAG